rnacentral:rRNA from 1 species
UACGUAGGGCGCAAGCGUUGUCCGGAAUUAUUGGGCGUAAAGAGCUCGUAGGUGGCUUGUCGCGUCUGUCGUGAAAGCCCGGGGCUUAACUCCGGGUCUGCGGUGGAUACGGGCAGGCUAGAGGCAGGUAGGGGAGAAUGGAAUUCCCGGUGUAGCGGUGAAAUGCGCAGAUAUCGGGAGGAACACCGGUGGCGAAGGCGGUUCUCUGGGCCUUACCUGACGCUGAGGAGCGAAAGCGUGGGGAGCGAACAGG